rnacentral:rRNA from 1 species
AUUGAACGCUGGCGGCAGGCUUAACACAUGCAAGUCGAGCGGGGGAAGGUAGCUUGCUACUGGACCUAGCGGCGGACGGGUGAGUAAUGCUUAGGAAUCUGCCUAUUAGUGGGGGACAACAUCUCGAAAGGGAUGCUAAUACCGCAUACGUCCUACGGGAGAAAGCAGGGGAUCUUCGGACCUUGCGCUAAUAGAUGAGCCUAAGUCGGAUUAGCUAGUUGGUGGGGUAAAGGCCUACCAAGGCGACGAUCUGUAGCGGGUCUGAGAGGAUGAGCCGCCACCCUGGGAAUGAGACAGGGCCCAGACUCCGACGGGAGGCAGCAGUGGGGAAUAUUGGACAAUGGGGGGAACCCUGAUCCAGCCAUGCAGCGUGUGUGAAGAAGGCCUUAUGGUUGUAAAGCACUUUAAGCGAGGAGGAGGCUACUCUAGUUAAUACCUAGGGAUAGUGGACGUUACUCGCAGAAUAAGCACCGGCUAACUCUGUGCCAGCAGCCGCCGUAA